GUACGCUCCCUUUCCCUUACUACAGCCGACCUCCCUUUCUACGAUUGACGAAAAAGAUUGAAGAAAUGAUUUCUUCUUCUUUGAUCGAACUGCUUGACGAAAACGAGUUCCAUAUACUUCUUUGAUCGAACUGCUUGACRAAAAUGAGUGCUUGAACUGCUUCCAUCUUCUUUCAAUCGAACACAGCUAURUCGACUAAUACCAAUAGAGGAUGGAUGUACCGGUCGCACCACUCAUAAYAGUGGAGUAUGCGUGAGAGGCUCUUUUUACUCAGAGUAUUGAGUCUGACAACCUUUGACGCAACCUAGUUUGCGGGUCAAGUUUUCUAUACACCACYAGCGCCCCUCACUUGUAUCAUUACAUGUAAUAAGGGUAUUCUUGAUAUGAUGUUAAAUUAGAGAUG